rnacentral:rRNA from 1 species
UCCUACGGGAGGCAGCAGUGGGGAAUAUUGCACAAUGGGGGAAACCCUGCUCCAGCGACGCCGCGUGAGUGAAGAAGUAUUUCGGUAUGUAAAGCUCUGUCAGCAGGGAAGAAAGAAAUGACGGUACCUGACCAAGAAGCCCCGGCUAACUACGUGCCAGCAGCCGCGGUAAUACGUAGGGGGCAAGCGUUAUCCGGAAUUACUGGGUGUAAAGGGAGCGUAGACGGUGAUGCAAGUCUGGAGUGAAAGGC